GACGAACGCUGGCGGCGUGCCUAAUACAUGCAAGUAGAACGCUGAAGAGAGGAGCUUGCUCUUCUUGGAUGAGUUGCGAACGGGUGAGUAACGCGUAGGUAACCUGCCUGGUAGCGGGGGAUAACUAUUGGAAACGAUAGCUAAUACCGCAUAAAAUUGAUUAUUGCAUGAUAAUUAAUUGAAAGAUGCAAUUGCAUCACUACCAGAUGGACCUGCGUUGUAUUAGCUAGUUGGUGAGGUAACGGCUCACCAAGGCGACGAUACAUAGCCGACCUGAGAGGGUGAUCGGCCACACUGGGACUGAGACACGGCCCAGACUCCUACGGGAGGCAGCAGUAGGGAAUCUUCGGCAUAUGGGGGGAACCCUGACCGAUGCAACGCCGCGUGAUGUGAAGAAGGUUUUCGGAUU
rnacentral:rRNA from 1 species